UAGCCAGAUGUUGGAAACAACCUCGACCACCAACCAAACAAGCCCUACUUCCACAAACUGGGAGUACGAAACCAUGGCCAGUAAAUAUCUCAAAACAAACCACACAGUCAGGGAAGCACAAACAAAGUGGAUGCAAUACAUAGAGAAAUAAAGUACCACUUGAAGCAACAUGGGGGCAAAUGUCCCUACUAGAAGGGAGAAAAGACCCAAAGGAAAGAGAGGUCCUCAGAGCAAUACUUGGUCAUUAGAAAACACAACUACUAAGGUGGCGGAGUGAAGAGACGGAUAGCGCCCCACAACCACAAACAGCCCCCAGCCCGCAAACCUUAAUCAAUACUGGUAACUCAAGCGGAGAGUACAACAUACAUGAGUGCCAGGCAGGAAGUACCAUGCAGAGCAGACAAGUUGUUGUAAACUAAGUUACAGUUCAUUAUGUUGGAUAUUUCAUCCUAUAUUGAUAGGCUGCGCACGCUGGUGGAGGGUUAGCAACCUUUAUGUGAUGGUGAAAUACAAGUCACAUGAUCCACAGUCUGCCUUUUAUUUCAGCUCAUUUGAAUUGGGUGACUCACAAUCCCUUCCCUCUCCAUUUUUCACAUUAAUCUUGAGAGCCCAAAUUAUAUGAAUAAGACAUUAUUUUCUCACUUAAUCCAUAAAUUACACUGGUAUUGUUUCUGUAACAUUGCAAUUAAAAAAAUAAAUCACUCCCUUUGUCUCCCUCUCCUAGCUAUCAACCAUAAAAGAUUGUCAUCUAUUGAACAUUCUAUGACUGGUGUCAAGCAUUAACAUUAGAGUUUAGUAGGAACUAUACUAGAUGGGGGCGCCUGAGUUUGUCCUGCCUAGGGCAGCACAAAACCAGGAUACACCACUGCAUACGCCACCUGCACUAUUAGGACAGACCUUGCUCCCCUUGUGAAGAGACCUCCUGUUGAGAUUGUGCAUAUGCGCAUUCAUACCUGAGAAGCAGACUGCGCAUAAACCAAUGGCAGCUAACAUCUUAUAAAGCAGAUGGAAAGGGGUUUAUGGGUUAUACUCCAUAGACAAUUAUAAGCCGCUUCUUGGUCAGGGUGGAGUCAUUCCUACCUAUUUAUUGCAUACAUUUUAAGAUUUGCUGUUGUAGAUGGUGCAGAUAAGGGGCCUACCAUUUAUAAUAUCCGUGCACUGGUACUCAGGGAUGGAAUGUAGCUUUAGCGGGGACAUUUGCUUCAAUGCAAGAUGAAUACCAGCCCUGUACCAAAAUGCAAGAUUAAAAUUAGUUUCAUUAUACACUGUUGGAUAGAAUGCGUUAAGGAUUUCACUGCUUGCACACAGGUGUAUCGAAAACAUGUGCUUAUAAUUGACUUCUGCACAUCCAGUUAUUCUUACAUAUUUUUUAAUACAGAAUUUGAGACUCACUGACUUAAACAUUUUAUUCUAAUCCUUGGUAAACCACGAGAUUUACAAAGUUUACAUUAUAUCCCAGCAGGUAGAAAGCAGCUUAUUCUGCUCAGACAGUGGAAAGGUUCCAGAUGGAUAUGAGCUUUUAGGGUGAUUAAUGGGACAAAAUAUUUCUCUUAAUAUUUUCAC
rnacentral:lncRNA from 1 species